GAGAAAUAAAUCUAAUAAUAAUAUGAAAUUAAUGAAAAAUGUAUUGCGCGUCGAUUGUGUCAAUCCGCAUACGAGGCAAAAAUCCACUUAAUAAAUAAUUAAUCGAAAAGUAUUUAUCGUUAAAAUUUAUACGUGAAAGUUGUCUGAGGUUUCAACUUUAAGUCGUGAGUUUAAAAGUGUAGAAAUUGUUAAUAGAAAAUUAAUAAUUAAUAAAUUUUCAAUAUAGCGUUCUCAAUUAUUUAGAAAGUAUCAGGAGCCGUAUAACCAAAAAUAGUGGCACAUCUUCUCUGUCCUUCUCGCACAAUGUUACUCUCCUUCUCUGUGACGUCACGGAUACCUCCUUGCAUAUUCUGUUAUAUUAAUAACGAGUCGGAGCUUCGGUGAUCCAAACGCGAGAUGGCGCUGAUCGAAAUUUUUUAAUCGUCAACUAACUUAUCGGCAAGAUAAAUUUCAUUGACAGUUUAUAUAGACCAACGAAAGAAACACGGUUGAAAUUCUAUAAUGUCCAGAAAUACUUGUUCAAAAAACAUCUAAUUGUGAUUAAAGCAAUCGUAAGUAAAAGAAUCUGUGUGCAAAUAUUAUAAAGUGAAAAAUUAUAAUUAUUGGAAAAAGAACUAAGAAAAAGAAAAAAGAAGAUAAAGAAUAUGAUGGAUAUACUCGUGUAUAUACUAAAAAUUAUAUAUAGGUUAAAAUUCGACUUUAUUUAUAUUACGUGUGCACAUUCACAUACUUAAAACGGAGACGUUUAGUAACGAUAUUAAGAUGUACUUACCUCCGCCUGUACCUGUAUUCGAGUUUUAGGUUAACUCUUCCUAGGAAUCCUUUGGGUUUCUUUGUUCUCGUAGAAAGUUUGAAACGUACCGGUAGUCCGGCUCGUUCGAAUCGAACGAUCUACAAAAUCUCGCGAACCGAGUCUCCAAUCUCUCGUUUUCUUUAUCUUCCGGAUACCUGAAGGCGAACGAACGCGAUGCUUUUUUCCGCGAGAAGCAUGGAAUGAGAUGAGACGGUCGACGAGGAACGUGACGUUUCAGUCUCCUUGAGAAUUUUAAUUCAUUUCUUAUCCGUGCGAGUAAAGAAAAGAGAUCCCAAGAACGAAAGGAGGAAGGAGAUUUAGAUGGAGAGUCAACUGCGCCGUUUGUCUCGACGUGACGAGAAUGGAUUUUCACGGACGACACUGAGCAAAGAUGAUUACACCCUUGCAAAGGGUGUCGGACAAUCCGACGUUUUCUCACGCAUCUCUCUCUCUCUCU